UACGAGCCACGUUCUAUUCUGCC
rnacentral:siRNA from 1 species